rnacentral:rRNA from 1 species
GAUGAACGCUGGCGGCGUGCCUAAUACAUGCAAGUCGAGCGAACAGACGAGGAGCUUGCUCCUCUGACGUUGGCGGCGGACGGGUGAGUAACACGUGGAUAACCUACCUAUAAGACUGGGAUAACUUCGGGAAACCGGAGCUAAUACCGGAUAAUAUAUUGAACCGCAUGGUUCAAUAGUGAAAGACGGUUUUGCUGUCACUUAUAGAUGGAUCCGCGCCGCAUUAGCUAGUUGGUAAGGUAACGGCUUACCAAGGCAACGAUGCGUAGCCGAUCUGAGAGGGUGAUCGGCCACACUGGAACUGAGACACGGUCCAGACUCCUACGGGAGGCAGCAGUAGGGAAUCUUCCGCAAUGGGCGAAAGCUUGACGGAGCAACGCCGCGUGAGUGAUGAAGGUCUUCGGAUCGUAAAACUCUGUUAUUAGGGAAGAACAUAUGUGUAAGUAACUGUGCACAUCUUGACGGUACCUAAUCAGAAAGCCACGGCUAACUACGUG